AGAAAAGAAGAAUCACUUGUAAUUGAAUGAGAUGAACAAAAUACUCAAACAGAUAUUGCAGACAAUGUGAUACAGUAACUAGGAGUAAUUCCAAAGAAGAAAUGUGAAGAGGAAGAGCUUUGUGUGAAAUGUUGGAUAAGGUAAACUGUACAGUAUCAUAGUGUAUUUACUGUAAUGCGAGCAACAAGUGUACAGUGAUAAGAAGUAAUAAAGAUAAUAAAGAGAGAUCUUCAUUUUAAAUGAAAGCUAGUUUUACAAAAGAGAUGAUACAUAAAGAUCUUGUUAAAAAUUCGGCAACAGUGAAUCUAAGUAUCCAACAGCUCUCUCCAGAAAUGAAAACUAAAUGUUUCAUCAUUUAAUAACUUGUGUUUUCUGUAGACUACCUCCCAGUUACUUCUAAACUUUUAAUAUAGUUCAAGG
rnacentral:lncRNA from 1 species